rnacentral:sRNA from 1 species
AACUCAUCAAAUAAUAGAUCCAACUACAGAUACCUAUGGCGGGCAUACUUAAUGUCUGGAUUCAAGAUCUAGUUAAUUACUCUAGAUCUA